AUUGAACGCUGGCGGCAGGCCUAACACAUGCAAGUCGAGCGGAUGACGGGAGCUUGCUCCUUGAUUCAGCGGCGGACGGGUGAGUAAUGCCUAGGAAUCUGCCUGGUAGUGGGGGACAACGUUUCGAAAGGAACGCUAAGACCGCAUACGUCCUACGGGAGAAAGCAGGGGACCUUCGGGCCUUGCGCUAUCAGAGGAGCCUAGGUCGGAUUAGCUAGUAGGUGAGGUAAUGGCUCACCUAGGCGAGGAUCCGUAACUGGGCUGAGAGGAUGAUCAGUCACACUGGAACUGAGACACGGUCCAGACUCCUACGGGAGGCAGCAGUGGGGAAUAUUGGACAAUGGGCGAAAGCCUGAUCCUGCCAUGCCGCGUGUGUGAAGAAGGUCUUCGGAUUGUAAAGCACUUUAAGUUGGGAGGAAGGGCAGUAAGUUAAUACCUUGCUGUUUUGACGUUACCGACAGAAUAAGCACCGGCUAACUCUGUGCCAGCCGCCGCGGUAAGAC
rnacentral:rRNA from 1 species